rnacentral:rRNA from 1 species
GGUGAACGCUGGCGGCGUGCCUAAUACAUGCAAGUCGAGCGAACAGACGAGGAGCUUGCUCCUCUGACGUUAGCGGCGGACGGGUGAGUAACACGUGGAUAACCUACCUAUAAGACUGGGAUAACUUCGGGAAACCGGAGCUAAUACCGGAUAAUAUAUUGAACCGCAUGGUUCAAUGGUGAAAGACGGUUUUGCUGUCACUUAUAGAUGGAUCCGCGCCGCAUUAGCUAGUUGGUAAGGUAACGGCUUACCAAGGCAACGAUGCGUAGCCGACCUGAGAGGGUGAUCGGCCACACUGGAACUGAGACACGGUCCAGACUCCUACGGGAGGCAGCAGUAGGGAAUCUUCCGCAAUGGGCGAAAGCCUGACGGAGCAACGCCGCGUGAGUGAUGAAGGUCUUCGGAUCGUAAAACUCUGUUAUUAGGGAAGAACAAAUGUGUAAGUAACUAUGCACGUCUUGACGGUACCUAAUCAGAAAGCCACGGCUAACUACGUG